GCAUUCCGAAUCCGCGAACGCUCGGACAACCAGCGUAAACAAACCGAAUUUCUUUUUUUUCUUUUCCUUCUCUUUUUAGUUCCGUCUAGAGCUCCAUAUUUAAGAAUGUCACCUUGAAGCUAAGGGAUCUUUUGGAAAUAAAGGGCCUUAAAAAUAGAAGCAUUUAGACUAUAAUUCACAAAUGAAGAAAAAAUGGAGGAAAUUGUACAAGAAAGAAGCUCAACUACAGAGCAGAGCUGGAGGCUGGAGGUUGGGGCAGAGUACGAAUCAUUUGCAGAGUUUGAGGAAGAUUUGAAAGCUUUUAGUGACCACAACUUCAUGUUGUUUGUAAAAGACAAGAGCACAAAACUUAAUAGAAGAGAUCAAGAUGGCCCAAGGAGAAAAGCCAUGAAGCUGCUGCCAGAGAAACUUAUUUAUAAGUAUAUAAGGUACAAAUGUAAACAUGGCGGGAAAAGAAGAUUUGAAGGCCGAGGGAUCAGGCCAAAUCAGAGAUCCUUCAAGCUGUCAUGUGGUGCUUUCUUGGUACUUGCAAUGGACAGAAAACGAGGAAAGCUUUGUGUGACUCACUUUUCAAUGGAGCAUAAUCAUGAAGUCUCUGAAGCAAUAUAUAAGAAUUAUCCAGAGAAUCGACGCUUGAUGCAUCCACAAGGAACAGAUGGAGAAAUAUUUUUAAAUUUGAAAAUAGAUCCCACAAAGGAUAGGGCAUAUCUAAGUGAAUUCUCAGGGAAGAGGCUUACCAUUGAAGAUAUUUAUCAAAUGAAACAGUGUUUGCCCCAACUUGGCCCACAGGAAGAUGUCAUUCUAUCCUCAGUUGAAACUCUCUUGGAGGAGGAUGAAAAGGCUACUGUUGUCUUCUCAGUUAAGGACAAAGUAUUAGAUUACUUGUAUGCUCAAAGGUCAUCAGGAAAGAAGGAAUUAGAAGAAUAUCCUGAUUCUGUUUUUAUGGAUGUCAUGUGUAAGAUCAAGAAUAAGGUCAUGCCUGUUGUUACCCUCAUGACUGUGGAUGACAAAAAUCAGAAGCAUGUCAUUGCUCAAGCUCUAGUUCAGAGCAGUCAGAGGGACAUUUUGAUGUCAGUUCUUGAAGUUUUUAAAUCAGAAAAUGAGCAUCUCUGUCCUUCUUUGUCAGUAAGUAAUCUUAUGAAAAGUUAUGAAGACAGGUCCAAAGACUUGGAUUACAAGGUAUUUCUUGAUAAAACUACUGUAAGUUAUAGUAUUACAAAAUUAGUCAAAGAAAUGCGUGAUGUGUCAACUGAUUAUGCCUUUGAACUCAUGGUUGAUGAACUGAAACAAAGUGAAAGUAUGACUGCAGAGGUGAAGGCAAAGGAUGAAGGAAAUUAUGAAGUGAUAGAUAACAUCAUCUAUAGUGUUACCAUAAAUCAGCAUUCAGUUUCAUGUUCUUGUAGUUUCUAUACAAACACAAACUUGCUGUGCAGACAUGUGUUCUACUUGGUUUCAGAGAAAAAAAUUACUGAUUUUAAUAAGGAAUGGAUUCCAAUCAAAUGGCAAGUAUCUCCAGAAUCUGCUGUAACACAAAUGGCCAGUAGAGCUAAAACUUCAGUAAAGAUAAAGCCCCUUUCACCAGAAAAGGUCAAGAAGAUGAGAAAAAAUAACAAGUUUUUGGAAAUGUUACGAGUGAUGAAACUCAUAGCAAACAUGAAUUGUACCCUUGAGCCCAGAGAAUACUGCGCAAGGUUUGAGUUACUAAUACAGCUUCACAAGUUAUGGCAAGAUGGAAAAAGGGCAUCUAUUGAUGAAAGUGUUGAAGAUAUAAAGUGCCAGGAAAUGAACAGAAUCUUUAGAAAUUUAGCAGAUAUGAGCAGUUACCUUGGACCAAAGGAGUACAAAGAUCGAUAUGAUUUGUUGUUAGAGUUGCAGGCACUUUGGCAGGAAGGGAAGAAAGUUUCUUUAGUUGAAUAUAGAGAGGAUAAUGACAAAAAAUUUCAAAAUUCUUCAUUGAGAGAAGAGCUAGAUAAUGUAAUUCUGUCUGGGUUAGAUAAUGAAUUGGAAGAUAAAGCUGUUUCUGAGAAAGGAAGUGAACUGUUUAGAAUAAUGCAGAAAGCAAAACCUGUUAAAACUGCAGAUGCUUUUACCCAGGUUACUGAAAAUUUUCAAGAAGUGUUAAUUUCAAAACCUGUGAAGCACCCAGUGUAUAGUAAGAGUAAAAGUGUAACAAAAUUAAUACCUGACACAAAUUCUUUGCCUACAGUAACACCCACCCAAGGAGGUUUACCCUUCAUAGAGAUGAUAGCAACACCCAACCCAAUGCCAUUAAAAAAUGAAGUAUUCACAAUUGUAAAUAAUAUUUGUUCUGAGAAAAGAAUUUAUGACAGUGAGAGUUUUCAUGAUUCAAUGGUCAUAUACUUAGAGCCCAACACCAAACCAGACAUGAGGCCAGCUGUUCAGGUGGUUGUCCCUCCCUCCCUGGGGAUUGACGACAUUACAGUGAAGAUGGAGGUAAAUGAUCCUCCUUCUUUGUUGGCCCCAGGCAGUGGUCUGCCAUCAGUAAACAGGAGAAAUACAAGGCAGAAAUUGAUUUCUGAGUCACAUAAUGAUAACCAGCCUGUUCAUUUCACAUUGCCAAAACCAGGUGAAAUACAUACAAUAAAGAGAGAGCAGGUCCUUUUGCCAAACAAGAGAAAAGUUUACGCAAGAAAAGAACUGAAUAAGAAAAGAAGAUUAUGUGAUGACAGCCAGGAUUUCACUGCAAGAAUGGCAGAAGUAAAUAGAUUUAUAGAUACUCAGUCAAAUAAAGAAAUUCAAGAUUUGUUAGAAGUAUCUUUGAAUUUCAAUUAUACAAAAGUACUAGAUGCUAAAGAGUUGAAACAUAGGUGCCGGUGCGAUGCUGUCUUAUCACUAGUAGACGAAAUGCAAAAUAUGAGUAAUGGAAGAAUACUUGAAGCAGUUAUUGUUGCUGUGAUUCAAAGAUGUAAAAUUUUAAAUGUUAAUCCAAAGAAGAGCACAACUGCCUAUGUUCUUGGGGCAUCACUCCUUUUAUAUUCAUACAUCCAUAGCGUAAGACCCAUGCAGACAGUGCUCACCCUAUAUCCACUAGGCAUUCAUGAAAUGUCUUCACCACAGCCUCAAGUGUAUUCAGAAGACAUUCACAUUAUUGUGGGAAAUAUGAGCAUCACACAACAGUCUCUUCACACUCUCAAUCCUGGAGAGCACUUGGACGACCAGAUCGCAGGCAGAUAGAUAAAAGGAUGUAGAUACUAUAUAUACAGAUAGGUAGUUUACUUGGCCCAUGGUAUCCAUAGAAGAUUGGUUAUCCAUGCCUACCUGGGGUUAAGAGCUCAGUUAAGAAAUGUUGAUGGGACAAAUGAAAUCUUUAUAUUUCCGUCUCAGCUAGCAAAUGUUUGGGAAACUGGAGAGUUUGGUAACUGGCUCUUUAGAAAUGUCGAUUUAAGUUCUUUCAAAUGGCUCUUAAUGCCUGUCAAAACAGAAGAACAUUGGUUUCUUCUGGUUGGAAAUGUUAAAAGUCAGACUGUGACUUCAUUAGAUUCGUUGUACAGCACAGAAAGACGAAGAAAGUAUUUCACUUUGUGGAAGAAAUAUAUGAUGGAACGGGCCAGAGCUUUAGGCCCAACUAACAUAGAGUGGAGAACCUGCCACACACCAAGUACUCAACAAGAGGAAGCAAAUAACUCUGGGGUAUUUGUGUUAAUG
rnacentral:misc_RNA from 1 species